rnacentral:rRNA from 1 species
UACGUAGGUGGCAAGCGUUGUCCGGAUUUACUGGGCGUAAAGGAUGCGUAGGCGGAUAUUUAAGUGAGAUGUGAAAUUCCCGGGCUUAACUUGGGAGCUGCAUUUCAAACUGGAUAUCUAGAGUGCGGGAGAGGAGAAUGGAAUUCCUAGUGUAGCGGUGAAAUGCGUAGAGAUUAGGAAGAACACCAGUGGCGAAGGCGAUUCUCUGGACCGUAACUGACGCUGAGGCAUGAAAGCGUGGGUAGCAAACAGG